rnacentral:lncRNA from 1 species
GGGACUGGCUGCCCAAGAGUAGGCCCGCUACAGUCAUGCUUCAUUGAUUCCCUAUACAAUCAACCAAAUUUCCCCCACAAAAAGGUGAUGCGAGCACCUUGACCCUCCCUCGAAGUCCACCUCUGUAGUCUUCAAAUUUUUAAUAGUCAUAGUUUGAUUAAGAAAAACCGAGACCAGGCAACAAUUUAAACCGAUAGAAAGUCAUCAAAAUAAUGUAACUUCAUGCCCUCCUUUACUUUAUUCAGUGAAAGUUUUGGUCUGUAUUCUUAAACUGUAUUAUGAGAAUGAUAUUUAUAUCAACUUCAUAUCCAUGUAAAUCCAUUUUGAAUGUUAACUUAAUUACUCAUAAUGUUGGGGACAUUUGCAUAUAAGUCUGCUAAUCCCCCUUAUGUCAUUUCUUUUUAGAAUAGCGGUUUUCAUUUAUUCUUUGUUUGAUUUUAAAAUAAUAUGUUUUCUUUUAUCGUGACUGCUAAAUAGGGUAUUCAUUAAGUGGAAAAAAACAUUCGUAAAUUUUGAGUUACGAUCUUCUUUUUAUAAAAACAAGUCAAAGUUACGAUCAUCUGUAGACGAAGUUA